ACGGGUGAGUAACACGUAUCCAACCUGCCGUCUACUCUUGGACAGCCUUCUGAAAGGGAAGAAUUAAUACAAGAUGGCAUCAUGAGUCCGCAUGUUCACAUGAUUAAAGGUAUUCCGGUAGACGAUGGGGAUGCGUUCCAUUAGAUAGUAGGCGGGGUAACGGCCCACCUAGUCUUCGAUGGAUAGGGGUUCUGAGAGGAAGGUCCCCCACAUUGGAACUGAGACACGGUCCAA
rnacentral:rRNA from 1 species